rnacentral:lncRNA from 1 species
UGUAAUGCAAAUAAUGGAUGAUUGCGUGCAGUUAAUCAAUUUUCUCUUUUUGUGUUGUUUUUCACACAGAGCGAUGAGGCAAGAGAGAAGUUUUUAAAAACAGAAACAUGUGAUUGCGGAAACAACAUUGUUGGCAGGAGGACUCGGUGGAUUCAGAUAUAACUGUAGGUGCUGCUUGUAUGAAAGUGCUGAGCCACACCAUCCAGUAAGCUGUCUAGAGCAGCAGUUGGCUUGCUUGGAAAUCGCUUCCAGGACUGCGUUGUAAGUUGCUAUCGACUGAGUUGCCAGAACAUUGCUGUACAAAACUUUGGAGGGCCACUUCUUAAUGGAUUGCUGCAGCCUCUUAAUUCCUCCAUUGAUCCUGUUCCCUGCGUCGUGAGAACAUUUUAGCCAGCACAGAACCUAGAAAAGUUACAUGUAAGUCAUGAUUCAAAUUCCUUUCUAUUUAAAGAAGGAAAAAAAAAAAAAAAAGGGUCUUGGGGAAGCAAGGUGGAGGCAGUAAACAUCAUACUUCAGGAAAAAUACUGUAAAAGCUGUAAUUCAACAGCAAACAU